rnacentral:rRNA from 1 species
GAUGAACGCUGGCGGCGUGCUUAACACAUGCAAGUCGAACGAAGCAUUUGCGACAGAUUUUUUCGGAAUGAAGUUGCUUAUGACUGAGUGGCGGACGGGUGAGUAACGCGUGGGUAACCUGCCUUGUACUGGGGGAUAGCAGCUGGAAACGGCUGGUAAUACCGCAUAAGCGCACAAUGUUGCAUGACAUGGUGUGAAAAACUCCGGUGGUAUAAGAUGGACCCGCGUCUGAUUAGCUAGUUGGUGAGAUAACAGCCCACCAAGGCGACGAUCAGUAGCCGACCUGAGAGGGUGACCGGCCACAUUGGGACUGAGACACGGCCCAGACUCCUACGGGAGGCAACAGUGGGGAAUAUUGCACAAUGGAGGAAACUCUGAUGCAGCGACGCCGCGUGAGUGAAGAAGUAAUUCGUUAUGUAAAGCUCUAUCAGCAGGGAAGAUAGUGACGGUACCUGACUAAGAAGCUCCGGCUAAAUACGUG